rnacentral:rRNA from 1 species
UACGAAGGGUCCAAGCGUUGUUCGGAAUCAUUGGGCGUAAAGCGAGCGCAGGCGGAUCAGCAAGUCAGAUGUGAAAUCUCGAGGCUCAACCUCGAAACUGCGUCUGAAACUGCUAGUCUAGAAUGUCGGAGGGGAUAGGGGAAUUUCACGUGUAGGGGUAAAAUCCGUAGAGAUGUGAAGGAACACCGGAGGCGAAGGCG